rnacentral:lncRNA from 1 species
UCUCAUUGGCAUUAGGCUGUGAGAGAAUUCAGUUUCCAUUCUUGGUUCUACCAUUUGACAGCAUAGAAUACCAUAUUUAUUGACAGCAUUAACCAUAUAAAGUCCUAAUUCUAGGGGAUUUGAGUCCCCACAUUCUCCAAAUGUUGAUAAAGGUGACAAUUUUAUUCCAACUCUUUCUGCACCUAUCUCAUUUGCAACAGCUUCAACAAUUUCCAAAGUAAAUCGACAACGGUUCUCAAGGGAUCCACCAUAUUCAUCUGUUCUGUCAUUUGCUUUAUCUUUCAUGAAUUGCUCAAGAAGAUAGCCAUGAGCUGCGUUGAUCUGAACGCCGUCAAAACCUACAAUUUGCACCACAACAAGUAUCUAAAAUGUCCUAUUCGACGUUAAGUGUUUGAAUCAACAAAUUUGAUGACAAUUUUUUUUCCGUCUUUAAUUUUCGUCGUCAUUGGCUUAUUUCUACUAUAUCAAUAUUCUACUGUCUCUUAUAUUCAAGCAUUUUGGAGAGAUUUGUAUAUAUCAAUGAAGUAAUUACCAGCUUCGAUGGCAUUUCUUGCAGCAAGUCUAAAGUCAUUGACAAUAUUAGGAAUUUCUUCUGUCCUUAGCCUCCUUGGUGGUGUGAACUGUGAUAUUACAACACCAUCACCUCCAAUUUGUGGUGUGAGUAGCUUGUCUGUAGAAGAUAUUGGUGCUUGCCCAUUUGGUUGAUAAACUGUUUGAUAAAUAGUAAGGAAAAUGGGCAUAUAAAAUAAAAAUAAAAAUCAUGUGUAUAAACAAAUGUAUAUGAUAGUAUGGAAAAUGGGCAUAAGAUACAUCAUACAUUGAGUGUGCAUGCAUGUCAUGUUAUAACAAAUAUAUACAUAUACCAGAAUCAGAAACUCUUCCAACAUGCCAAAUUUGACAGAAGAAUGUGCCGCCUUUGGCAUGAACAGCGUCCACGAUGGGUUUCCACGCUUCAACUUGCUCUUUUGUCCAUAUGCCAGGUGUGUGUGGAUACCUUCAUUACAAUUAGUCGAAGAUAGUUAUAGAAUUGGUUACUAUAUUAAAUUAUUAAUUGCAAGUUAGUUCAGAUCAGUUAGAUUAAUAGGGAUUACUUUGCAGUAAUUCGCUGCGAUUCUGUUAAAUUGACCGCAAAUUUAAAUAUGCACUAACUACUACUAAGUAAUAUUAGUUGGCAUGAUGCAUCGAUCAGUUCGAGUUGAAGCAAAUUAAGCAUGAAGAGUGAGCAAUGAAUGAAAGGAAAAAAGUGUUACCCUUGAGCAGUUUCAGAGACGCCAGUAGCUUCAGAUAUGAGAAGACCUCCAUUAGAGGUCCUUUGAGAGUAAUAGAGAACAGCAUGAGGUUGAGGAACGUUGUUGUAGGAUCGUUGUCUAGUCAACGAUGCCAAAACUACUCUAAAAUUAAAUUAUUACAUACACAAACACAAACAUAGGAUGAGUGAGUAUUUUAAGCAAUUUUAAUUCGGAAGCAAGGAAUGAAAGCAUAGUAAACAUACCUAUGAGCCAGAUUAAAUUUGCCCAUCUUGUAAGGAGUAAGAAGAGAACUGGGAUCACCAGCCAUAAUUAUAAACUAAUACUACUGAUUAGAAAUGUAAUAAUAAUGAGGAAAAUAUACACUUUACUAUGAAGUUGAAGUUGGUAUUUAUUUUAGACUAAAACUGAAAAGUGGUGGGUGGGGGGGACCUUUAUGCUUGUUUGCUAUUGCGUUAGGUGAAUGAUGUUUACAAUACAUUACAUAUUUUAUGCCUUCUGCAUUAAGGUAUGUCCUGCAUCAGGGCAAGUAAUUUGUGCGUACAUAGCUUCACCCAAAUCUAAAUCCCAAAUCCUAAUUUAUGCCUUCUUCAAAGUUUCUUUGGGUGAAAAAUUACACAUGCAUUUUAGGGAGUAUCCGAGUAUAUGCAAAUAUUUGUCUUUAUAGUUAUUUUGAGUGAUAUUAGUUCUUAACUUUUUUCUUUGUGUACAAAAAGAUCCUAUCAGUAUCUUUAUAGUUUUAAAAAAGUUUAACUAGUAAUUUUGAUCUAGUAUAUGAUUAGUAUAACUUUUUGAGGAUCACACUUUCUUUUCUAAAAUUCUAACUCAUAUUCAAAACAUAGUGAAAAAAACAGUUCUGGAUACUAAAAUAGUCCUAGCAAAGAAGUAUGAUAAGAAUUAAUAUAAAAAUAGAUAAGCAUCACAAUUCUUAUUUUAAUGACCAAAUUUUUCUUACAAGUUCCCUUCGCAGGAACUAAUACUAUUCAAGACACAGUCAGACACUAAAUAUGAGUAUUGUUCUGGUACCAACUUUAUCACAAAAUGUGUUGGAUGCUAAAACAUCAUUCAAGAAAAGGAUAGUCAGUAUAACCAAGAACUGGAUCAUGACUAUAGAAUGUCUCCCUGUAAUACUUAUUUAGAGGAGCAUUAAGUGCAAAUCUCUUCGGCAAAUCUGGAUUAGAUAUGAAAUAACGACCAUAAGCAAUAAGGUCUGCUCUAUUCUCAGCAAUAGCAUUGAUCCCAUCUUGUCUACCAUAACCUCCUGUAACCAUGAAAGUGCCAUUGAAAGCCUUUCUCAUUGGUAUUAGGCUGUGAGAGCAUUCAGUUUCCAGUCUUGGUUCUACCAUUUGACAGUAUAGAACACCAUAUUUAUUGACAGCAUUAACCAUAUAAAGUCCUAAUUCUAGGGGAUUUGAGUCCCCACAUUCUCCAAAUGUUGAAAAAGGUGACAAUUUUAUACCAACUCUUUCCGCACCUAUCUCAUUUGCAACAGCUUCAACAAUUUCCAAAGUAAAUCGACAACGGUUCUCAAGGGAUCCACCAUAUUCAUCUGUUCUGUCAUUUGCUUUAUCUUUCAUGAAUUGCUCAAGAAGAUAGCCAUGAGCCCCGUGGAUCUCAACCCCGUCAAAACCUACAAUUUCACCACACCAAGUAUCUAAAAUGUCCUACUAUUAGAAAAAGUUGAAAUAGUGACAAUGACUGAAAAAUGUGAAAUACACCUUUAAUUUCGAUGUUAAGUGUCUGAGACAACAAAUAUGAUGAUAAUUUUUUUUUCCGUCUCCAAUUUUUGUCAUCAUUGACUUACUUCGAUUAUCAUUACUCUAGUGUCUCUUAUAUUGAAGCAUAUGGAUUAAAGAUUGGUAAAUGUUA